rnacentral:rRNA from 1 species
UCGUAACAAGUCGUAGUGACUGCGGAGGAUCAUUA